CCUCCAUACGGCCGAGCCCCCGCCCGCCUCCCCACUCUCCUGAGCUCAGAGGGGCAACCGCAGCUGCAGCCAUGACGUGCCUCCUGCUCGCCCUGGGCAUGGCCCUCCUGCGUGGCACGCGGGCCGCCGACGUCCCCAGACCAUGGGGAGCCUGGACCUAACAAAGGUGGCCGGGACCUGGCACUCCAUGGCCAUGGCAGCCAGUGACAUCUCCCUCCUGGACUCUGCUAGCACCCCCCUGAGAAUGUACAUCCAGGAGCUGAGACCCACCCCCUAGGACAACCUGGAGAUCGUCACGACCCAACGGGAGAACCACCUGCGUGUGCGGAGGAGCAUCACAGCCCAGAGGACUGAGGACCCGGCAGUGUUCGUGGUAGCCUGUGAGUGCCCCACCCCACGCCUGUGGACCGCCUGGCCAGCUCCCCCUCCCCUCCUGCUGGGGCCGCCCAGCAGGGAGCUACCCCCGCUGGGCCCGCCCAGAGCCACUCCGCACUGCACCUGGCGGCAGGGGAAGGUCAGACGCUUGACUCCC